GGCUAGUCUGAGUGCAAUGAAUGGUGUUUAUUGUGUUAACUGAUCACAAUUAGUUACAGAUUCCUUUGUUCCUCCACUCUCUCCACUCCCACUGCUUCACUUGAUCAGCUUUAA
rnacentral:Y_RNA from 1 species